CUUCCAUUAAUAUUCCGUGUCAGACAAGGAAAUAACCUAGAUAAGAUCAAUUUUUAAGCAUGUUUCUUCAGGAAGGAACUAAAGAGCAGUCCUGAAAAAUACCUGCUGGAAUGGAAAAAUUCUGGAUCUUUGGGAAAAUAAAGGAACUGCUGUGUGAGAGGAAAAAUGCCAAUAUGUUUGGAGGACAGGCUGGCAGUACUUCUCUCCAGAUGUACCAUUUGGCACAUUAAGCAAUUCUUUUCUUAGAAGGGGAACCUAUGUUUUUGCCAUGUAAUGCAAAACACCAAUGGAAUCACUACAUAAGCAAAAUGCCAGUAAUGGUACAGUGGUCCAGCCACAAACACUGGUGAAGGACAGAAAAGGGGCAAGGACAUGCCUCACAUCCCUCUGUCACUGUCCACUGACUCUUUCUGUGUGUUACAGUUUCUUCCCACCAGCAGGGCUACCCUUUCCCCUGCCUGUGACUUCCUAUGGGAUGAGCAGCAGGACAAUCCUUCCUCCUGGUCUCGUGGCCAAGGAGGAAAAGGAGACUGGCCAGGCAAAUCACACAUGUUUCCUUGGCAGCAGGGAAAGGUGCAAAGCUUGGGGAGAGAGCUGUGACAUACUGCCCUGCCUGACUGCCCAGCCUGACCCCUGGCUUGGCUUCUCUGGGGUUUUUCUGCUUCGUACAACAAAUGUCCUGUAAUUCAAGCUUUGUGUAAGUGGGGUCAUGCUACUCUGCUCAGUAGAGUUCCAGUUAGCAGGUUUCUUUCUAGUUAAUAUGACAGGUGUUUAGUUUUUCCUGCCAUUCACCAGAAAUCUCACCUUUAUUCCUCCCAUGUUAAAUAAGUCACUUCUGGCUUUUGCCUGUCCAUGCAGUCAGAAAAUGAUAUUUUCUGAUUACU